CGCGAACGCUCGCGGCAGGCCUAACACAUGCAAGUCGAACGAAGUCUUCGGACUUAGUGGCGGUCGGGUGAGUAACACGUGGGAACGUACCUUUUGGUUCGGAACUACUCAGGGAAACUUCAGCUAAUACUGGAUGAGCACUUAGGGGGUAAGAUUUAUCGCCGAGAGAACGGCCCGCGUUAGGUUAGCUAGUUGGGGAGGUAAAGGCGCACCAAGGCUACGAUCUAUAACUGGUCUGAGAGGAUGAUCAGCCACACUGGGACUGAGACACGGCCCAGACUCCUACGGGAGGAAGCAGUGGGGAAUCUUGUGCAAAGGGCGAAAGCCUGACGCAGCCAUGCCGCGUGAAUGAUGAAGGUCUUAGGAUUGUAAAAUUCUUUUACCAGGGACGAUAAUGACGGUACCUGGAGAUAAAGCCCCGGCUAACUUCGUGCCAGCAGCCGCGGUAAGAC
rnacentral:rRNA from 1 species